AUUGAACGCUGGCGGAAUGCUUUACACAUGCAAGUCGAACGGCAGCACGGACUUCGGUCUGGUGGCGAGUGGCGAACGGGUGAGUAAUGUAUCGGAACGUGCCCAGUCGGGGGGGAUAACGUAGUGAAAAUUACGCUAAUACCGCAUACGAUCUAUGAAUGAAAGCGGGGGAUCGCAAGACCUCGCGCGAUUGGCGCGGCCGAGAUCAGAUUAGGUAGUUGGUGGGGUAAAGGCCCACCAAGCCAACGAUCUGUAGCCGGUCUGAGAGGACGAACAGCCACACUGGAACUGAGACACGGUCCAGACUCCUACGGGAGGCAGCAGUGGGGAAUUUUGGACAAUGGGCGAAAGCCUGAUCCAGCCAUUCCGCGUGCAGGAUGAAGGCCCUCGGGUUGUAAACUGCUUUUGUACAGAACGAAAAGGUUUCUACUAAUACUAGGAGCUCAUGACGGUACUGUAAGAAUAAGCACCGGCUAACUACGUGCCAGCAGCCGCAGUAA
rnacentral:rRNA from 1 species